ACGACGCGCGCACGUACCGCCCACCUGCGCACGCGACGCGAGUGAAACACGCGUGUGAACAUAUACUUACGAUAAAAGUGACUGUGCCUGUGAAUGCUCCUGCUUACCCAACUCUUUGAGGUUCUAAUUGACCAGUGAUUGGAAGGUGGUCACCUGCCAUCAACCGUAGGUGUUUUUCUUUGGGAUUCGGAUACACAGAGAGGAACAGAAAACUGUGCUGAGCAUCGGGUUACGGCCACCUCGCACUCCACUACGUGACCGAACCACGACUCGUUAAAGAUGUGUGUGUAGGAGAGGCGCGGCAUGGGCCAGGCCGGCAGCCACGCGCCGCCGCCGC